rnacentral:rRNA from 1 species
AACGAACGCUGGCGGCAGGCCUAACACAUGCAAGUCGAACGCAUCGCAAGAUGAGUGGCAGACGGGUGAGUAACGCGUGGGAACCUUCCCAGUGGUGCGGAAUAGCUCAGGGAAACUUGAGGUAAUACCGCAUGAGCCCGCAAGGGGAAAGAUUUAUCGCCAUUGGAUGGGCCCGCGUCGGAUUAGCUAGUUGGUGAGGUAACGGCUCACCAAGGCGACGAUCCGUAGCUGGUUUGAGAGAAUGACCAGCCACACUGGGACUGAGACACGGCCCAGACUCCUACGGGAGGCAGCAGUGGGGAAUAUUGGACAAUGGGCGCAAGCCUGAUCCAGCCAUGCCGCGUGAGUGACGAAGGCCUUAGGGUUGUAAAGCUCUUUUGGCGGGGACGAUAAUGACGGUACCCGCAGAAUAAGCCCGGCUAACUUCGUG